rnacentral:lncRNA from 1 species
AAACGCGUCGUGGUUCCCCUUCAGGUUGGGAGAUUCCGAGCCCCUGGCGAGUAAGAACAAGGCGCACUGUACCUUCCUCUUUCACAAGCAUCCAGCUAUGGCCAACAGACCUGCUUCUUCCUUCCCGGCACUGCUGCUUGGUGCAGUGGUCUGAGCUGAGAUCCGCCCACCAAAGUCACUGGUAUUCUGCAGAAAACCCCCUAAGCGGUUAGCAACCACCAGUAGCUUUCAGUCCCGAGACAGAGGUCAGGGAAAAGGGGGAAUUCAGAGGGGUUCUCUGAAAAGCGCGUUGAUAAAACAGCUAUUGUUGAUUGAAAGGGUGUCCAUUACAUUGAUUAAUUGGAUAUGGCCUACUUAAACUAGACUGCAGGUCUACUGUUAAUGGCUAUUGGCAAGAUGCCUUUGAAAAAUGUGGAUAAUAAAGGUUGAUUACCUCUACAGA